AUUCACUCUGCUGGAGUUUUCUAAGUGAGCCUAUGGUAUGGUACAGACUGCAAGACACUCUGUAUCCAGGUUCUGUCAGGUUUUCACAGAGUAACUCAGAUUAUUGACAGAACAUGUAUAGCAUACUACUUUCUGUACAGCGAUAUCCUGUGUACUGUAUGUCCUCUGACAGCAUCUAGAAGUUCCUGCUAGGAACUAUCUGGUGGAAAGGGAAGCCUUGGGAAUAAAGUACUGAGAAAAUCCCAAGAUGAGCUAAAGGAACAAAGAGAACUACAUCUGGAAAACCGAGAGGUCUCCAUGCUUUGAAGAAGUCUACCAACUGUCAGAAAGAAAAAAGGAUAUAGAACAACACAGCAUUAAUAACUUAUUUUCCUAUCCAAAUCCAGUAUAGAUUAUUUAAAAAGAAUUAAAACAGCAAUUAAGGUGUCAACGUUAAGUCACAGGUAAGCAUGAUCAAAUGCUACUAGGGAGCUUAGAAUCAAUGAGAGUGAAAUAGCUUAGGAAAGAAUACCAUUAGAGGAGGUGGAAAUCACAGAUUUCAGUUUGUUCUGCAAAGGGAAAAUGGAGACAGCAGGGAAAUAACAGUUGAAGAAGAAGCAGUGGAUGUGAAAUGAAUGAGCAGCAAGCAGACUUGAUUUGAGAAAACAAAGGAAAGCAUACAGAAAUAGAUGAAUAAAGUAGUACUUGUUUAGAAAUGAAUCAGGUGAGAUGCACAGCUAGACCCAAAACAACAAAACAUUUAUUUCCCCAUAUCUCUUUCCCAUUUCUCUUCAGAUUCCACUUUCAGACCAAUAUUUAUACGAUUCAGAAUUGUUGUACCUACACCAUAUAAUCUGAGGCUGAAAGAGGCAGAGGGCUAACUGUGAGUGACUGAUGGAGCACUUCUAGACAGCUAAAUAUCUCGUUCCUAUAGAAGAAGUUUCAACUGAAAUUUAUAGCUUUAUACAUCAAAUUGAUUUAAGGUAAAAAGCUGUAGUAAUAUGAAAACUGCCAACAGUAAUUUUCUUUCUUCCUUCUGCUAGUUAGGAACAAAUAUGAAAACAUUCUAAAAUACGAAAUGAGCCCUUUGUUGGUGAGAGUAUUGCAAUUACUUCUCAUUGAGGCACCAUAACAGAAACUCUUUCCUGCAUUUCUCUUUCCCUUUGAGACUGAACACCAGGGUAUGUCUUUUCAUAUUGGCAUUUUUUAUGGUAAUAAAAUAAUUUGUCAUCUUGGACACUUUGUACCCCACCUGUGUAGGCAAAAAAAAA